AAGUUCCGCACUCAGAAAGUAGGCCAAUGNGAGACAUGAAAGGUGUAGCAUAGGUGGGAGAUUGUCAAAUUGCCAUCGUUCGCGCGGUGGUCCGGUGAUCGCCAAUGAAAUACCACUACUUUGAUCGUUUCUUUACUUAUUCGGUAAAGCGAAAAAAUUGUGGCCAAUUUGGCGGUGUUUAUGUCGCUGUUGGUCAUUGUUUUCAUGUUAGAUUGAAGCUUUGUUUACAGCCGUCGCUUUGUGUCGCCAUUUGACGCAUUGUUGUACUGGGUUAUCCCGGUGUGUGGUGUAGUCAGUAUGGAUGAUCGGCGAUAGGUUUGAAGUGAUUCGCUCCGGAAACAGUGUCAGACGGGGAGUUUGACUGGGGCGGUACAUCUGUUAAACGAUAACGCAGGUGUCCUAAGGUAAGCUCAGCGAGGACAGAAACCUCGCUUAGAGUAAACGGGCACAAGCUUACUUGAUUUUGAUUUCCAGUACGAAUAGAAACCGCGAAAGCGUGGCCUAUCGAUCCUUUUGAUUGUGUAGAUUUCAUGCAAGAGGUGUCAGAAAAGUUACCACAGGGAUAACUGGCUUGUGGCAGCCAAGCGUCCAUAGCGACGUUGCUUUUUGAUCCUUCGAUGUCGGCUCUUCCUAUCAUUGCGAAGCAGAAUUCGCCAAGCGUUGGAUUGUUCACCCACCAAUAGGGAACGUGAGCUGGGUUUAGACCGUCGUGAGACAGGUUAGUU
rfam:Trichinella sp. T9 scaffold215s, whole genome shotgun sequence.